rnacentral:rRNA from 1 species
UGGGGAAUAUUGCGCAAUGGGGGGAACCCUGACGCAGCCAUGCCGCGUGAAUGAAGAAGGCCUUAGGGUUGUAAAGUUCUUUCGGUAUUGAGGAAGGUUGAUGUGUUAAUAGCACAUCAAAUUGACGUUAAAUACAGAAGAAGCACCGGCUAACUCCGUGCCAGCAGCCGCGGUAAUACGGAGGGUGCGAGCGUUAAUCGGAAUAACUGGGCGUAAAGGGCACGCAGGCGGUUAUUUAAGUGAGGUGUGAAAGCCCUGGGCUUAACCUAGGAAUUGCAUUUCAGACUGGGUAACUAGAGUACUUUAGGGAGGGGUAAAAUUCCACGUGUAGCGGUGAAAUGCGUAGAGAUGUGGAGGAAUACCGAAGGCGAAGGCAGCCCCUUGGGAAUGUACUGACGCUCAUGUGCGAAAGCGUGGGGAGCAAACAGGAUUAGAUACCCUGGUAGUCCACGCUGUAAACGCUGUCGAUUUGGGGGUUGGGGUUUAACUCUGGCGCCCGUAGCUAACGUGAUAAAUCGACCGCCUGGGGAGUACGGCCGCAAGGUUA